rnacentral:rRNA from 1 species
GACGAACGCUGGCGGCGUGCCUAAUACAUGCAAGUCGAGCGAAGUUUUUCUGGUGCUUGCACUAGAAAAACUUAGCGGCGAACGGGUGAGUAACACGUAAAGAACCUGCCUCAUAGACUGGGACAACUAUUGGAAACGAUAGCUAAUACCGGAUAACAGCAUUAACUGCAUGGUUGAUGUUUAAAAGUUGGUUUUGCUAACACUAUGAGAUGGCUUUGCGGUGCAUUAGCUAGUUGGUGGGGUAAAGGCCUACCAAGGCGACGAUGCAUAGCCGACCUGAGAGGGUGAUCGGCCACACUGGGACUGAGGCACGGCCCAGACUCCUACGGGAGGCAGCAGUAGGGAAUCUUCCGCAAUGGGCGAAAGCCUGACGGAGCAACGCCGCGUGAGUGAAGAAGGAUUUCGGUUCGUAAAGCUCUGUUGUUAGGGAAGAAUGAUUGUGUAGUAACUAUACACAGUGGAGACGGUACCUAACCAGAAAGCCACGGCUAACUACGUG